rnacentral:rRNA from 1 species
GAUGAACGCUGGCGGCGUUCCUAAUACAUGCAAGUCGAGCGAACGGACGAGAAGCUUGCUUUUCUGAUGUUAGCGGCGGACGUGUGAGUAAUACGUGGAUAACCUACCUAUAAGACUGGGAUAACUUCGGGAAACCGUAGCUAAUACCGGAUAAUAUUUUGAACCGCAUGGUUCAAAAGUGAAAGACGGUCUUGCUGUCACUUAUAGAUGGACCCGCGCUGCAUUAGCUAGUUGGUAAUGUAACGGCUUACCAAGGCAACGAUGCAUAGCCGACCUGAGAGAGUGAUCGGCCGCGCUGGACCUGAGACACGGUCCAGGCUCCUGCGGGAGGCCGCAGUAGGGAAUCUUCCGCAAUGGGCGCAAGCCUGACGGAGCAACGCCGCGUGAGUGAUGAAGGUCUUCGGAUCGUAAAACUCUGUUAUUAGGGAAGAACAGAUGUGUAAGUAACUGUGCACAGCUUGACGGUACCUAAUCAGAAAGCCACGGCUAACUACAUG